rnacentral:rRNA from 1 species
CAAUAGCGUAUAUUAAAGUUGUUGCAGUUAAAGCUCGUAGUUGGAUUUCUGGCCGAGUGUCCCUAGGCCAGCAUGACGUUUGGUCCUAGGCGCUCUGCCAUCCUUCUGUCAACCUUCGCCUUCUUCAUUGGGCGGCUGGGCUCAGAUAUUUUGACCUUGAGAAAUUAGAGUGAUUUCAGGCGGCUUUCGCCGGAAUUACAUUAGCAUGGAAUAAUGGAAAGGACUUCAACCUCUUCUGUUGGUCUGAGAGGCUGUAGUAAUGAUUAAUAGGGAUAGUUGGGGGCAUUAGUACUUAACUGUCAGAGGUGAAAUUCUCCGAUUUGUUAAAGACUAACUUAUGCGAAAGCAUUUGCCAAGGAUGUUUUCAUUAAUCAAGAACGAAAGUUAGGGGAGUCAAAGAUGAUCAGAUACCA